AAAGCUCUUCUCUGACUCUGACCUCCUCCCAUCUAGUCCCAUUUAAUUAUUGCCGGUGGCUUGGGCAACACAAAUCCUGGGCGCUGAAAACAUUCUGCUUUAGAUAAUAUUAGUUUGUUUUCUAGAUGCGCUGGGUUUGACUCAAGGCUGUGAUAAUCUCUAGUGUACGGAGCAGUACAAACAGAAGAAAGAGUGAAGAGGCAUUCAUCCCCUAAAAUCCUUCAAGACUUCCGUCGUGCCACCGAGGAUGAGAAAGGCUGUGUACUGCCCAGCUCUACCUACAGCCAAACCCUCGCAGCCAGACGAGGCAGGGCAAGGACCUGAGGCUAAAGUUUGGAUCAACUUCAGUUUCUUUAAAUUUUCAAGUCCCAAGCACAGGAGAGUGAGAUUUUUGGACUUUGAUUCUGUUGACCUCUAGAAUGUUUGGAUUAAUUUGCAUGCAGAUUUAAUUUUUAACUUUAAUUUCCUCUCAGGAAAAUCCAUUUAAGAAGGCAGUUAAUAUUCAAAUCUGGGACUUUGUAUGUUGCUGGCGUUUUUUUUAGGAUUAGCCUAUUUUUAUGUUGUUAUUUUCAUCUCGGUGCCAGUGUUUGAUGAGCUACACUGGAUAAUGUAGAAGAAUGAGGAAUGGAUGCCAGCUCCAUUUUCAGACUGUGGCCUCAGGCCGCAGUAUAGAGCCGCUCCGAUUCAUGGUGGACCUCCUCUCCUCAGCUAAACAUGGCUGGAAACAUCCCCCAGAGAAACACCCAGAGGUGUACGUUUCCAUGGUGAUUCUAAAGCACAUCAGGUUGACAAGCAAGAUUCAUCAUCACACAGUUCACAGCCCCAAACAGUAGCCCCUCCUUGACACACCAGAGAGCAAAACCUGGCCAGAAACCAUCUCUGUAGAUGCCUUGAUCUUCGAUUCUCAGUCUUCAGAGCAUGAGAAGAUUCUUUUCGGUCGUUUAUGCCACCCAAUCUGUGGUGUUCUGUUGAGGUAAACCCAGUAGACUUUACCAGAGGGAAAUCAAUAUAUUCUUCCGAAAUAAAGA